GUGCGGCUCGGGACGAGGCGGGAAGCGGCGGCUGGCUGUCGUCGGAAUGGGCUUUCGCUGCUCGAGCUGGCGAACUGCAGAAGUGUGAAACUGAAUUAUAGAACUGACGCGUAGGGUGACAGGCUGUGGCAGAAGAUGCAAUUCUGCUCAUGGGAACGAGGAAGAGGACUGCUGAACUGGGAGUAGUUGCCAGCAACAGCCACUCACAGCGAAAGGCAAUGGCUGUUUACCUGCAUUGCUCAGUGGGACCAGGAAGGACAGACUCACUUGUGUCCUCCACCAGAAGACAGUGACAUGACACAAAUGGUAGCACAGAGCUCUUACUGCUCCAUUCAAUAAGUGAUCCUCCAGGGACAGACUGUGACUCCCCAAAGGUUGCAGGAAGAGCUGUUCAAGUGGAGGGGCACACCUUGUCAAUUGCUGAACGACCUCCUUUGUAAAUUGAGUGAGAGUGUGCGAUUUGCCCUGGAGCAUCUUUUCAGGCGUUCUGAAUUCUGCCACUGCCAUGACAGGAGCCUUUGGACUCAAGCUGCCAUGGUGCCUCAAGUCAUCACCAGGCUGGGAGCGGCACCAGAUGGGCAAGAAGGCUACAGCUUCUGCAGGACCCGGAAGAAAUGUCCGGAUCCAGAGGGUGAGGAAUUCAUCCACCAGCCUCUGUCAGGUUGUGAAUGUGCAGUCUGUUUCUUCUGGAAGAGCCCCAAGUGACAGUGGACUAGAUCUGCCCCUAUGUAGGAUUGCUAUCAGCCAACGUGAAUGACAGACUAGGACCUCUGCCUGAGAAAUACAUUGAGAUCCUGAGCAGAGCUGUUCAGCUCACAUCUAUCACUGAGACUUACAUGUGCCUGCUGAGCCACUGCUAUCACAUAGAAGGGUGGAGAUGGGGUAGCAGUUUGCUCUGAGAGACAAGAUGAACGUGCCAAGUUGCACAGAAGUAUUGGCAAUGGCUUUCUUGGGGAGAGAUUGAGACAGCUUUUGACAGGAGCCAACACCCAUUUUGAGAUGAAAAAUGUUCGUCCCACCAUCUAACUCCUUAGUCUCUUCCCCAGCAGACAUUUCUCUGGGAAAACACCCACUGCUGUGUCUCUGGGGCCACUGGAGAUCCUGUGACUCGCUCUGCGGUUCCUAAAUCCACAGUACCCACCCUGUUUCUGCUCAGACUCUCUUUUUAUUGCAUUUUGCCUGCGUA